ACUUGAUAUGGACUAAAUAACAAAAUUGGAGUUAGAUGCAUUCAAAUUCCUCAUUUUGCAGCUAUAAAUAAUAGCUCAUAUUCACUGCUUUGCAUCCCCAACCAUUCGAGAACAGACCAACUUCCUUCAGACCCAGAUGUUGACA